UAGGGAAUAUUGCAAAAUGGGCGCAAGCCCGAUGCAGCAACGCCGCGUGGGCGAUGAAGGCCUUCGGGUCGUAAAGCCCUUUUUGAGGGGAUGAGGAAGGACAGUACCCUCAGAAUAAGCCUCGGCUAACUACGUGCCAGCAGCCGCGGUAAAACGUAGGAGGCGAGCGUUAUCCGGAUUUACUGGGCGUAAAGCGCGUGCAGGCGGAUUGGAAAGUUGGAUGUGAAAGCUCCCGGCUUAACUGGGAGAGGUCGUUCAAUACUUCCAGUCUUGAGUACAGUAGAGGGAAGCGGAAUUCCGGGUGUAGUGGUGAAAUGCGUAGAUAUCCGGAGGAACACCAGUGGCGAAAGCGGCUUCCUGGACUGAAACUGACGCUCAGACGCGAAAGCUAGGGUAGCAAACGGG
rnacentral:rRNA from 1 species